UACGAAGGGGGGCUAGCGUUGCUCGGAAUCAUUGGGCGUAAAGCGCGCGUAGGCGGCCCGGUAAGUCCGUUGUAAAAGUCAAAGGCUCAACCUUUGAAAGCCGAUGGAUACUGCCGGGCUAGAGUCCGGAAGAGGCGAGUGGAAUUCCUGGUGUAGCGGUGGAAUGCGCAGAUAUCAGGAGGAACACCGAUAGCGAAGGCAGCUCGCUGGGACGGUACUGACGCUGAGGCGCGAAAGCGUGGGGAGCGAACAGG
rnacentral:rRNA from 1 species